AUCCCUUAGCACUGUGUAUAUUUUAAACUUGUGGACAAAGACUUACAGAUAAGUGGAAAAAGUAAGUUCUCUCUACAAUCCAGAACUCAUUUUCAAUAUGAGUCUUGAUUAUAUAUGAGGGAAUAUG
ensembl:snoRNA Gm22598 predicted gene, 22598